UACGUAGGUGGCAAGCGUUAUCCGGAAUUAUUGGGCGUAAAGCGCGCGCAGGCGGUUUCUUAAGUCUGAUGUGAAAGCCCACGGCUCAACCGUGGAGGGUCAUUGGAAACUGGGAAACUUGAGUGCAGAAGAGAAAAGCGGAAUUCCACGUGUAGCGGUGAAAUGCGUAGAGAUGUGGAGGAACACCAGUGGCGAAGGCGGCUUUCUGGUCUGUAACUGACGCUGAGGCGCGAAAGCGUGGGGAGCAAACAGG
rnacentral:rRNA from 1 species